rnacentral:rRNA from 2 species
UGGGGAAUCUUGCGCAAUGGGCGAAAGCCUGACGCAGCAACGCCGCGUGCGGGAUGAAGGCCUUCGGGUUGUAAACCGCUUUUACCAGGAAGGAAAAUGACAGUACCUGGAGAAUAAGGUGCGGCCAACUACGUG